rnacentral:rRNA from 1 species
AGAGUUUGAUCCUGGCUCAGGACGAACGCUGGCGGCGUGCUUAACACAUGCAAGUCGAACGGUUGUAGCAAUACAGCAGUGGCAGACGGGUGAGUAACACGUGGGAACCUUCCUAGGGGUACGGAACAACUCAGGGAAACUUGAGCUAAUACCGUAUACGUCCGUGAGGAGAAAGAUUUAUCGCCCUUAGACGGGCCCGCGUCGGAUUAGCUAGUUGGUGUGGUAAAGGCGCACCAAGGCGACGAUCCGUAGCUGGUCUGAGAGGAUGAUCAGCCACACUGGGACUGAGACACGGCCCAGACUCCUACGGGAGGCAGCAGUGGGGAAUAUUGGACAAUGGGCGCAAGCCUGAUCCAGCCAUGCCGCGUGUGUGAAGAAGGUCUUCGGAUUGUAAAGCACUUUAAGUUGGGAGGAAGGGCAGUAAGUUAAUACCUUGCUGUUUUGACGUUACCGACAGAAUAAGCACCGGCUAACUUCGUGCCAGCAGCCGCGGUAAUACGAAGGGUGCAAGCGUUAAUCGGAAUUACUGGGCGUAAAGCGCGCGUAGGUGGUUCAGCAAGUUGGAUGUGAAAGCCCCGGGCUCAACCUGGGAACUGCAUCUGUGACUGCAUAGCUAGAGUACGGUAGAGGGGGAUGGAAUUCCGCGUGUAGCAGUGAAAUGCGUAGAUAUCAUGAGGAAUACCAGAGGCGAAGGCGGCUACCUGGACAAUUGCUGACGCUCAGGCACGAAAGCGUGGGGAGCAAAAGGGAUUAGAUACCCCUGUAGUCCACGCCCUAAACGGUGCAUACUAGGUCUUGGCGGAUUCGACCCCUCCAGGGCCCAAGCUAACGCGAUAAGUAUGCCGCCUGAGGACUACGGCCGCAAGGCUAAAACUCAAAGGAAUUGACGGGGAC